GGAAAAUAUCUCUCGUUUCCUUCCCCACGAAGGUUUCCAACACACGUGAUCCCUCUGUCUCUCUUUUCUUUCCUCUCCUCCAACCCCCGCCUCUUCCCUGCUGCUCCGCCGCCGCCUCUUUCUCCGCAAAUACACUGCGUGCCGCCGCCUGUGCCCGUGCCCUCUUCAUCUCCCGUCCCGAGCUCCACCUCCUCCAGCCUCAUAUCCCCUGAUUUUCUCGAUUUGGAUCUCGGGAGCACACGGGAGGGAGUCCCCGAGCGGUGGCAGCGUCAGAUCCCUCCGUCUCGCGGGGCAGGGCCUCCCGUCCGUGCCACGAUGACGCCGGCAUGGAGGCUCGGGCACGGGCAGCCACCGCGGUGUCGGGUGCGCCGGCGAGGUCUCUGGGGACCGCGCAGUAAGGGACUGGCGCAGCUUCUGAUCGUUGGUUCCGGCGAUGCCAAGCCGAAGAUCUGAGUCGCCGAGCCGCAAGUAGCAGCUGGACAUCCAUCCGCCGGCCCCGACAGCGAGCUCCGGCCGUCCACCGCCCCGAGCUCCAUCCGUCUGCUGCCCCCUACCCCAUCCGCCUGCCCCGUAGUCGCAGCCGUGGAUAGCCCCAUCAGCCGCAACCUUCAGCAGCCACGCACAAACCUUCUGAAGACAAAUUCUAGCUCUCAUCUCUACUCUCUCUCAUCCGCUAGGGAUGGAGGGGCUGCCGAAAUCCACCUCGAGGCAGAGGGGUAGGCAGAAGGAUGGCGAGCGUUCCACUCGACGGCGAGCCAUGGGUGAUGGCGAUCGCAACGCAAAGUUUUCCGAUCUGCCUGUCUUCAAGGGCGUGGAGCGACGGAGGUUGUCUCCCUCCUUCCACACGGUCGCAACAUCGGGAGAGGAUUCAGCCCCCGUGUGGUUCUGCACCAAGUUUCUGUCAAGAAUGGAAUCUACGAGUUCUGGAACUGGUUUGAUGAUAGGACAUGGUAAGAGCCUCAUAGACAGCUGAAUAAUUUAAUAAUGUGCGGGUUAUUUGUAAAGCGGAAACACAGUUAGAAUACAUGGCUGAAUUAUCUUCUGCUGCUUCUAUUUUAAGUAUCCCAUUGGUCGUGUGAUCGGUGUGACACUAUGUAUACUGGGUUGACUUUGACAGCUGGAAGCAUUUGGUGGUAUGUUACUGAAAAAUGUGCCCGAAAUAUUUGAUCGGUCUACUAAGUUGGUAAACGCUCUGAACAUCCAAGUGUUGGUGGAGACCGUUUGCGUGUUACUGCUCCAAUUAUCUCAGCAAAUGCUUCCCGGGCUACUUACCUCUUGACAAAGGUUGUAUUUCACAGAAGCAUGUAUUCUCAGUUUCUCACAGUAGCCAGAGUGUAUCGCUUUUUUAUCUGGUAAUUCUGUUCUCAUUAAUGUUAAUGUUUCCGUACGAAGCAAAGGGCACUGGUGCUGGAUGGAUGCCAGCAGCUAUUCUGGCAAUGGUAAAUUGCACUUGAUUUAUAGAUGUUUUCAUUUUCAUAUGCCACGGUCUAAGUGGAAAUAUAAAUACUUUUCGAUGAAGCUAGGGAUGCCAUUAAGUAGCUUUAGCUUUACCUAUCUUUGGGUGGGAACAUUACACUCUUCAACAACGAAAGAGAGGGCGAGAGGUGAUCCUUCUGCUCUUUACUUGUGAAUCUCUAUUUCUUACUAGCUCGGGGAACUUGCACCCAACAAAUUAAUGGAUGAUCUUGCAAACCUCAUCAAGUAUAUUAGUAGUUAAACUGUGAAUUUGAAAACAAAAAAAUUGUACAUUUGUUCGUGUUGAAUUUAGAUGUGUUCUUGGGCAAUAAUUGAUGGUAGAUAAUACAUGAUGGGGGAUGGCCUUCAUUGCUACAAUUACUUUUCCUAUCCCUCCUUAGUUUCUUGGAUGUAUAUUAGUUUUUGUUUGCCCCUUUAUUUUUAGGGGAAGUUUUCUUACUGCCACAGCUUGGUUGUUCUAACAUGACAAAAUGUUGGAUUUAAUAUCUUGCUAAAUACUGGAUACUAGCUCAUUUUACUUCAGCUCAUAAGGAAAGGUCUGUAUGCAAAGCGUGUCAUGGGACGGUAUGCUGGAAUAAACACAUAUAGCCAGUUCAUGUUUACCCUUUUCUUUACACAUAUGAUUGAGACUAGCAAAUUCACAUAUACAAAUAUGUUUCUAGAGCAAGGAUGAGAAGCACUCCAUAAACAACCACAAUUGAUGGGAUGACGGAACUUUAGGUCAAACCACACAGGUUUCGCUUGUUGAUAUUUCUGGCAUAUACUUGAUGAAAUAUACAUAAAUAUGUGUUCUUUCGUAUAGGUUUUCACCAGAAUCAAGCAUCAGUUCAAUGGGAACUGGAAUGAUGAAAACACUUGUCGUGCCUCAGAGUGUGGCGCCGAAGAGAAGGACGAGCAGUCAGUGGUGUCUUCGUCUUCGCCGAUUGUGCUGUGCGUAGAUGCGGAAGACCGGCAACCGACGGCAAUAUGUUCAUGUGGCUUCAAGCAUAGGUUAUUCAUGGAGUUACAUAGUUUGAAGUCCCUUUUGUAUUAUUCUUAGGAGAAUGGAGUAAAUAAUAUGUGAUGCCUUGUUCUGUCAAUACCACUGUAAAGUUUCGGUGUUUAAUUUUCUUGGUGAUCUCUCAUAGGUUUAUAUAUAUGUUCUCGGUUUCUAGAAUUGUUCUGUAUUAUCUGCAGAUAUGCCACAAUUGCCACCUGAGGCCAUUAUGAAUUGUGGUGGGAUGGCACAAACAAGAAGAGAUGGUAUCAGGUGACUUAGUGAUAGUUUUGCUUUGGGAGUAUUAAGAAGAGUGACACGUAUUGUGGUUAAAGUCCGCAAAGAUAUGUUAGCUUUUAUUUUGAAUUGAUGGUUGUGCUCUGGCAUCCACCUUGUAACACUUUAUAGACCUUCUGGUUUGCUCUGUUUGCUAUGCUAUGCUAUAUGCCUGAACAUUUUAAUGAUGUAUUUCUGUUAAGUGGAGUACCUUUUUUUUUACAUAUGCUGCUCAUUUGGGCUGCAUAUGCAUGUUCAAAAGUACAUCAGCAAGAUUUGUGCGCCCAUCGCACAAGGGGAGCUCCCUCAUUGUCUCCACAUGGAUUUUUUUACUGUGACGAUAGGAAGAGAAAAAAUGGGUGAAAAUGCGCUGAUCCUCUGCUCAUUAACGUGCCUCGUUGGAGAACCCACGCCGCCUAUUCCUCCGCCAAAUCCAUCGCACUAGGGCUAGCCUGCCCGCGCCGGCGACGCGCCUCUGCCUCGCGUCACGCCGCCAUGGCCACCGCCCCUGCCGCCGGUGAGGUGACCCUGCUGAGGUGCCCAAGAAUCUCUGGAUAGAUGCGGGCGCCGUCGCCGACUCCGGCCUCGGCCGCGUCUGUGGCAGCGGCGAGGACCUUCACCGUGGGUCUCGGUCUUACUGCUCAUCCUUCGGGAGGCUACGCGCGGAGGGGAGGCGGACCCCAUGGAAGCGGCAGCACCCGCGCCCCCCAAGAAGCCCCGCAUCUCCGCCUCCGGUGCUGCUGACGGCAGGCCUCCCGUGAUCUCCUACUAAUACUACCACCGUCACCGCAAGAAGUCGUGGCUCGACGAGCCAUGGCCAUCCUUGACGACGCCACGGCAGCUGGAGAAGGAGGAGGAGGAGGCGCUGGGCAGGGGCUCGUGGCGGAAGCGCCCGCUCAAGCACGAGCUGCUCAGCCUAGGGUCUGCCCUGCUUGCAUUGGGCGUGGAUAGAGACGGGGAGGAGUUGCUGGGGCGACGACAGCCGAGGCGCAGCGGGGGAGUGUAGAAGGAGAGCACUUCGGCGCCCCGGAGGUGAUGGCGCCGCAGUAGCCAGCUGGAGGUGGCCUCUCCAUCUGAGAAAAGAUGGGUAGAGUAAGUUGGAUUUGUGCUUGCUUCGCAAUGAAACUCUCCUCACGGCUUCAGCAACAAGGAACGGCCAACUAGAAUACUUGUUCUCUGUGUAAUUUUGACGCUGGCUUUGUCGUAAGUUGGAAAUUCAGGGUGCCGAUCCGUAGGCGUUUGUCGGUUUAGUGUGCAAGGUUUUCUGGCCCCAAGAUGGUGAUUGCUAUAAGGGUUCCAUCACGGCCUACAUGGAACUAACCAAGAAUUAUGUAUGCUUUCUAUAUCCCUGGUUCUUAUUUUUCUUAUUCAUGAAAUAUUGCUGUGGCUGACUGGAUUAUCCUCAGUUGAAUCUGAUAAUCUUUUCUGCAAUUUCCUUACUAAAAGGCUUGUGAUGUACUCCCUCCGUUCUAAAAUAGAUGACUCAACUUUGUACUAACUUUAAAGUACCAGUCUGUUUUCCAUGUAAUGUCUGCACUAUAAAGAGAGCCAUGUGAAAUGUCGUGUAGUUGAUAUCUAAAGCUAAACGAACUGCAUGUGAAGUAUGAAGACCUUACCCUAGCUAAUGAAAGGAUGAAAUUUUCCAUUUCAUCUGAGGAAAUGAAGUGCCUUAACCUGAAAUUUGGAACAUCUAACCUGGAUAAGAAGGGAUACGAUGAGCUACUUGCACUUCCUGUCAGCUUUCAUGACUACCAAGGUCUUGAUCCAUAUGAUCUAGUGUGGGCUAAAAUAACAGGUACUCCUAUGUCUUUUCCUUAUGAGUGCCGAUGCUUCUAGUUGUUAACUGCGAUUAGAUGCCAAUGGUCCUUUCUGUUUAUUCUUUCUGUCAUCACAGGUUUUAUUUUAUUGUUUGUAGUCAUUGUCCAGAUUACUUUGAACUUUUACCGUGUGGUAAGAGUUAGUAUUGUAAGUUGUACAAUGGAGAAGUACUGAAUCUCUUAAAGCAUAAAGCCAUAAAAAUCAGCAUGCACUGAGGCCUAGGCACAAAGUAAACAUGUUGUAAUUUCAAGAGGUUAAUUUAGUUUUGGUAGGGGUGCAUAGGUAUAAACAACAAACCAUCUUUUCCAAAAAAAAAACAUGGACCAUUCUGCAUGCAGUAUAUUGACAUAUUAGUUGCUCUCUUGUUUCUGAACAUUUUUGAACCAGCUAAGAAGUACUCAAAAUCUUAAAGCAUAAAGUCAUGAACAUCCUAGGCACAGAAUAAUCAUGCAGUGAAGAUACUUUAUUACAAACCAUGUAUGAUAUGACACCAACACCAAAUCCUUGAAGCAGCCGUCCCAUGUAGAGAAGUGAUGAGUCCUAUGGAUUAAACAUCCAUUAGCAAGCAUGAAGCUCGUAUCGCCGUGAGAAGAAGAAGGGCAGAAAAUAAGCUUGGAAAACAUGUGGGUGCAUUAUGCCAUACAUUCGUGAAGGAGAUGGCGAGCCAACUGUUGAUGUUCUGAAUCGCCACCAUCGUUAACGACUGAAAAUUCAGUAGGCAUUUCCAUUACUCUGUUAUUAGAGUAUAAAAGAAUAAAACUUUAGUGUAGUCAAGAAUUAAUUUGUUGCAACUUGCAAGCAUAUGACAUGAACAAAAUACUGAACUUUUUUCAGAAAAAUUCUUCACCUACACAUCUUCUGCAACACCAAUUUCUCUUCUCUGAUUAUCAUAUCAAAUGCCACAUGCAACUACUUAAAUAACUCAUGAGAUUCAAGACUAAUAUAAGGUCAACUCCAAAUUUUCAUUCAGAGGGAGGGAAGGGUCAACAUUUUCUCACCCCUUUCCGGCCAAUGUGCUCGGCCAUCUGGCCGCUGGCGAUGGCCCCGACCAUGGCGCCGAUGUGGACAGCGAGUCGAACGCCAAGAACUGCAUCACGUGCAGGCACGAAGUUACUCAACAUCUUUAGUCCAAGAAGAAGUGGAAACAGUGCAAGCUUAGAUGCUCCAGGCACAACCUUCUCAUAGUUUUCAAUAUUUUACUUAUGUUUUCAAUUUUUUUAUAAAUUAUUUGCAGUUCCAUCUGCUUCUCAUAGUUUGUGCAAUCUUCAAAUUCAACUUGUGUUAGAGGCUUCAGUUCUUACAACAUAUGAUACUCGCUUGAUCAUCAUGUAUAUUCUAUAAACAUAAAGUGAUGCACUGAAUGCAUUAUGCUCUUGCCCAUUGUUAUUGUGUUUAUUCCUAUCAGUUAAGAUAAAUAUAUAACUCUCAAAGUUUUAACUAUGGGUGUUGGAGGAGAUAGAUCGGGCAGAACUACAACCUGAGGUUGUGCAGGUUUACGGAUACCUCUUGCCAAGGUUAUAUUAUUUUAGGUUUUGGCGAAUA